rnacentral:rRNA from 1 species
GAUGAACGCUGGCGGCGUGCCUAAUACAUGCAAGUCGAGCGAACAGAUAAGGAGCUUGCUCCUUUGACGUUAGCGGCGGACGGGUGAGUAACACGUGGGUAACCUACCUAUAAGACUGGGAUAACUUCGGGAAACCGGAGCUAAUACCGGAUAAUAUUUCGAACCGCAUGGUUCGAUAGUGAAAGAUGGUUUUGCUAUCACUUAUAGAUGGACCCGCGCCGUAUUAGCUAGUUGGUAAGGUAACGGCUUACCAAGGCGACGAUGCGUAGCCGACCUGAGAGGGUGAUCGGCCACACUGGAACUGAGACACGGUCCAGACUCCUACGGGAGGAAGCAGUAGGGAAUCUUCCGCAAUGGGCGAAAGCCUGACGGAGCAACGCCGCGUGAGUGAUGAAGGUCUUCGGAUCGUAAAACUCUGUUAUUAGGGAAGAACAUACGUGUAAGUAACUGUGCACGUCUUGACGGUACCUAAUCAGAAAGCCACGGCUAACUACGUG